rnacentral:tRNA from 1 species
GUGAUCGUAGCUCAAUCGGCAGAGCAUCCGGCCGUGGUCCGGAGGGUGCGGGAUCAUACCCCGCCGAUCACC